AUUGAACGCUGGCGGCAUGCUUUACACAUGCAAGUCGAACGGUAACAGGCCGCAAGGUGCUGACGAGUGGCGAACGGGUGAGUAAUGCAUCGGAACGUGCCCAGUCGUGGGGGAUAACGCAGCGAAAGCUGCGCUAAUACCGCAUACGAUCUAUGGAUGAAAGCGGGGGACCGUAAGGCCUCGCGCGAUUGGAGCGGCCGAUGUCAGAUUAGGUAGUUGGGGGGGUAAAGGCUCACCAAGCCAACGAACUGUAGCUGGUCUGAGAGGACGACCAGCCACACUGAGACUGAGACACGGCCCAGACUCCUACGGGAGGCAGCAGUGGGGAAUUUUGGACAAUGGGCGCAAGCCUGAUCCAGCAAUGCCGCGUGCAGGAAGAAGGCCUUCGGGUUGUAAACUGCUUUUGUACGGAACGAAACGGUCCUGGUUAAUACCCGGGGCUAAUGACGGUACCGUAAGAAUAAGCACCGGCUAACUACGUGCCAGCCGCCGCGGUAAUAC
rnacentral:rRNA from 1 species